ACGCUCGACACCUACGGGAGGCAGCAGUGGGGAAUAUUGCACAAUGGGGGAAACCCUGAUGCAGCAACGCCGCGUGAAGGAAGACGGUUUUCGGAUUGUAAACUUCUGUUCUUAGUGAAGAUAGUGACGGUAGCUAAGGAGCAAGCCACGGCUAACUACGUGCGAGCAGCCGCGGUAAUCUGAGCGGGCUGGCAAGGC
rnacentral:rRNA from 1 species